rnacentral:rRNA from 1 species
ACCCGCUGAAUUUAAGCAUAUCAAUAAGCGGAGGAAAAGAAACCAACAGGGAUUGCCUCAGUAACGGCGAGUGAAGCGGCAACAGCUCAGAUUUGAAAUCUGGCCUCACGGUCCGAGUUGUAAUUUGUAGAGGAUGCUUUUGGCGAGGUGCUUUCCGAGUUCCCUGGAACGGGACGCCUUAGAGGGUGAGAGCCCCGUACGAUUGGAUACCGAGCCUCUGUAAAGCUCCUUCGACGAGUCGAGUAGUUUGGGAAUGCUGCUCUAAAUGGGAGGUAAAUUUCUUCUAAAGCUAAAUACCGGCCAGAGACCGAUAGCGCACAAGUAGAGUGAUCGAAAGAUGAAAAGCACUUUGAAAAGAGGGUUAAAUAGUACGUGAAAUUGUUGAAAGGGAAGGGCUUAUGACCAGACCUUUGCCUUGCGGAUCAUCCGGUGUUCUCACCGGUGCACUCCGCUUGGUUGAGGCCAGCAUCAGUUUUGGCGGCCGGAUAAAGACUUCAGGAAUGUGACUCCUCCGGGAGUGUUAUAGCCUGCUGUGUAAUACGGCCGCUGGGACUGAGGACCGCGCUUCGGCUAGGAUGCUGGCAUAAUGGUCAUCAGCCACCCGUCUUGAAACACGGACCAAGGAG